UACGGGGGGGGCAAGCGUUGUUCGGAAUUACUGGGCGUAAAGGGCGCGUAGGCGGCCUGCUAAGUCGGACGUGAAAUCCCUCGGCUCAACCGAGGAACUGCGUCCGAUACUGGUGGGCUUGAAUCCGGGAGAGGGAUGUGGAAUUCCAGGUGUAGCGGUGAAAUGCGUAGAUAUCUGGAGGAACACCGGUGGCGAAGGCGGCAUCCUGGACCGGUAUUGACGCUGAGGCGCGAAAGCUAGGGGAGCAAAAGGG
rnacentral:rRNA from 1 species